rnacentral:rRNA from 1 species
CGUGUAGGCGGACUCGCAAGUCGGUUGUGAAAUCCCUGGGCUCAACCUAGGAACUGCAUCCGAAACUGCUUGUCUUGAGUAACGGAGAGGGUGGCGGAAUUCCCGGUGUAGAGGUGAAAUUCGUAGAUAUCGGGAGGAACAUCAGUGGCGAAGGCGGCCACCUGGACAUUUACUGACGCUGAGACGCGAAAGCGUGGGGAGCAAACA